ACAUUUCUGGGAGGUAUGUUCUCCAGGCAGCCACCCGGUGCCCCGCUCCCGCCGCCGGGCCUCCCGGGCCAGGCCUCGCUUCUUCAGGUUGCGCCAGGCGCUCCCAGAUCUUCUCCGAGUACCUUGGUGGAUGAGUUGGAGUCAUCUUUCGAGGCUUGCUUUGCUUCUCUGGUGAGUCAGGACUAUGUCGAUGGCACGGAUCAGGAGGAAAUUCGAACUGGUGUUGAUCAGUGUAUCCAGAAAUUUCUGGAUAUUGCAAGACAAACAGAAUGUUUUUUUCUACAAAAAAGAUUGCAGUUAUCUGUCCAGAAGCCAGAGCAGGUUAUCAAAGAGGAUGUCUCGGAACUGCGGAACGAGCUGCAGCGGAAAGACGCCCUGGUCCAGAAGCACCUGACCAAGCUACGGCAUUGGCAGCAGGUGCUGGAGGACAUCAACGGGCAGCACAAGAAGCCCGCCGACAUCCCGCGGGGCUCCCUGGCCUACCUUGAGCAGGCGUCUGCCAACAUCCCCGCGCCUAUGAAGCAGAACUGA